UGUGUAUAUUGCCUGAUGGUAGGUUUUGAUGCAUGAUAGAUAUAGUUUUGUGAAAUACAUGUACUUUCUAACUGAAAAAUUAGUGAAAAUUCUUGCCGAUGAUUAUCGUAUUGUAAAAGAACAAUUACACAAAUGCGGCAGCCGAGCGUUACUCUGCUUUGAAAAUCACGUAGGCACACUUAAAACUGCGACACUGUGUUUCACCUUUCAAAACUGAUAAUUUUGGUUAAUCCAAUGGCAGUGUCACAUAAAAAAGGAGAAAUAUAUUUCAACCUUGCAAUGAUAUAGUAUAGCCAGCUCAUACAUGUCUAAUACUAGUCUAACGCAAAUGUCUAAUGGACAUAUGACUCAAAUCGUCCAUUGGACACAGACCUGCAUGGAAAAAAGUGGGAUCUCAGCCUUCUCAGGAUCCUGGGGAACAUUUGCCUUAGCAACAAGAUUGAGGAACAUUUUGAAUUUUUCACGCAUACUUUAAGGGAGAAUUUUAAGGAAUCAUAUUUAG